CGUAGGGGUGAACCUGCGGAGGGAUCAUUACAGAGUUGCAAAACUCCCUAAACCAUUGUGAACGUUACCUAUACCGUUGCUUCGGCGGGCGGCCCCGGGGUUUACCCCCCGGGCGCCCCUGGGCCCCACCGCGGGCGCCCGCCGGAGGUCACCAAACUCUUGAUAAUUUAUGGCCUCUCUGAGUCUUCUGUACUGAAUAAGUCAAAACUUUCAACAACGGAUCUCUUGGUUCUGGCAUCGAUGAAGAACGCAGCGAAAUGCGAUAAGUAAUGUGAAUUGCAGAAUUCAGUGAAUCAUCGAAUCUUUGAACGCACAUUGCGCCCGCCAGCAUUCUGGCGGGCAUGCCUGUUCGAGCGUCAUUUCAACCAUCAAGCCCCCGGGCUUGUGUUGGGGACCUGCGGCUGCCGCAGGCCCUGAAAAGCAGUGGCGGGCUCGCUGUCGCACCGAGCGUAGUAGCAUACAUCUCGCUCUGGUCGCGCCGCGGGUUCCGGCCGUUAAACCACCUUUUAACCCAAGGUUGACCUCGGAUCAGGUAGGAAGACCCGCUGAACUUAAGCAUAUCAAUAAGGCGGAGGA
rnacentral:rRNA from 1 species